GGGGUUGUGGCUUCGUGGGAGAGCGCUUGCCUAACACGUGUGAGGUACUGGGUUUGAUCCUCAGAACUCCA
rnacentral:tRNA from 1 species